UCGAAGGGAUUUUUGAGAUUGAUUUAACCGACGCUUUCGGAAUGGAAGUAGACAAUGAAAGGGUUGUUGACGAUGACGCUGGAGAGGAGGUUCAUAAUAUGAAGGAGUUAGAAUUACUUCAGCGGUUACAGUUAGGACAGGACAUUGAUGAUGACGCUGAAACUUCGGAGCACGGGAAUGAUUUGUUUGACACGCGUGACAGUGACGAUGAGACUUAUGAUCCAGCUAAUCCCGAUCAUGACGAUUAUUUCUAAGACAUGUAUGGAUCGUAAUAAUUUAUUUAUUAUUUGUCAUACCAUGUUAUUUUUGAAAUUAUGUUUUAUUUAUAUAUGUGCUGAUUGGUUUAC
rnacentral:lncRNA from 1 species